GUGAGCACGUCCAGGUUGGUGAGUGAGCACGUCCAGGUUGGUGAGCACGUCCAGGUUGGUGAGCACGUCCAGGUUGGUGAGCACGUCCAGGUUGGUGAGCACGUCCUGGUUGGUGAGCACGUCCAGGUUGGUGAUCACGUCCAGGUUGGUGAGUGAGCACGUCCAGGUUGGUGAGCACGUCCAGGUUGGUGAGCACGUCCAGGUUGGUGAGCACGUCCAGGUUGGUGAGCACGUCCAGGUUGGUGAGCACGUCCAGGUUGGUGAGUGAGUACGCCCAGGUUGGUGAGCACGUCCAGGUUGGUGAGCACGUCCAGGUUAGUGAGCACGUCCAGGUUGGUGAGUGAGCAUGUCCAGGUUGGUGAGUGAGCAUGUCCAGGUUAGUGAGCACGUCCAGGUUAGUGAGCACGUCCAGGUUGGUGAGCACGCUCAGGUUGGUGAGUGAGCACGUCCAGGUUGGUGAGCACGUCCAGGUUGGUUGGUGAGCACAUCCAGGUUGGUGAGUGAGCACGUCCAGGUUGGUGAGUGAGCACGUCCAGGUUGGUGAGUGAGCACGUCCAGGUUGGUGAGUGAGCACGUCCAGGUUGGUGAGUGAGCACGUCCAGGUUGGUGAGUGAGCACAUCCAGGUUGGUGAGUGAGCACGUCCAGGUUGGUGAGUGAGCACGUCCAGGUUGGUGAGCACGUCCAGGUUGGUGAGUGAACACGUCCAGGUUGGUGAGUGAGCACGUCCAGGUUAGUGAGCACGUCCAGGUUGGUGAGUGAACACGUCCAGGUUAGUGAGCACGUCCAGGUUGGUGAGUGAACACGUCCAGGUUAGUGAGCACGUCCAGGUUGGUGAGUGAGCACGUCCAGGUGAGUGAACACGUCCAGGUUGGUGAGCACGUCCAGGUUGGUGAGUGAGCACGUCCAGGUUGGUGAGUGAGCACAUCCAGGUUGGUGAUCACGCUCUACCACUAUGGGACAGUUUAGUUUGAGUUUUUACCCAUCUACCAAUAGGUGCCCUUCUUAUACAAACUAUUGGAAAACCUCCCUGGUCUUUGUGAUAGAAUCUGUGUUUGAAAUUCACUGCUGCACCUGACAGAUAAUCAUGUGUGUGGCGUAGAGAGUCAUUAAGAAAAUCACGUUAAACACUAUUAUUGCACACAUGAUUAUUACGUGACUUGUUAAGCUACUUUUUGAUGAGCAAAUAAUUAAUUUGAAAAAAUAAAUAAAUAUGAAAAACCUAAAUUCUACUUUGACAUUGUGGGGGGUAUUGUGUGUGUAAGCCAGUGACAAAAAAAAAACCCAGACAAUAUUUAAUUAAUUUUAAAUUCAGGCUGUAACAACAACAAAAUGUGGGGAAAAGUCAAGGGGUGUGAAUACUUCCUGAAGGCCCUGUGUAUAAUGUAGCAGAAGGCAGGCUAGACGAGGCAAUAUACAGGUAGCAGAGACACAUACAAACGGAGACCCACAUUAUCGACACCCUUCAUAAAGAUAACAAACUGUAAUAAAAUAAAUCAUUCAGCUAUAUUGUAUGCAAAAAACAAAAAAGGAAUUAAAAUGAUUUGACACUAUUAUAAUUGCUCAGAUAAAGAGUUUGUUUAAGGCCAAGCACCACGCCCCUCAUAGGGUCACGCAGAUAAACAUCUUGAUUCUAUGUUUAGCGGAGAACUUGUGUGUAUAAAGUGACGCUGGAGGGCAAUAAAAGCAUCUUACGACGCUCUCCGUUG